UACGGAGGGUGCAAGCGUUAUCCGGAUUCACUGGGUUUAAAGGGUGCGUAGGCGGGUAAGUAAGUCCGUGGUGAAAUCUCUGAGCUUAACUCAGAAACUGCCGUGGAUACUAUUUGCCUUGAAUAUUGUGGAGGUGAGCGGAAUAUGUCAUGUAGCGGUGAAAUGCUUAGAUAUGACAUAGAACACCAAUUGCGAAGGCAGCUAACUACGCGAAUAUUGACGCUGAGGCACGAAAGCGUGGGGAUCAAACAGG
rnacentral:rRNA from 1 species